AGUUCUUCAGUGGCAAGCUUUAUGUCCUUCUCCAGUAGCUAAAGCUGCCAGUUGAAGAACUGU
rnacentral:pre_miRNA from 1 species